AUUGUUGAUUUCGAUAAUUGUUUUAUAAAUGCUUCUUGCACCGGCAUACAGAAGGUUAAUAACUGCUCCGUUAUGGCAAAAGGUUUUUCCUUUGUUUUUGUGUUCAUUGUAACAUUCAUUACAUACAUUGCUAUUGCAAGAUCAUUUCCUUAUACGUGUGAUGAUCCAAUAGUUUGUGAUAGAUGGGGAAAUUCUAUGUGUCCAGGAAUCGUACUGGAAUGUCAACCAGAUCAGAAACUUCUACCCACCGGGUACUGUAAUUGUUGCCAAGCCUGCUUCAAUCUCUAAAACUGGUUUUUAACUGAUGAAACUCCUGUCAUAUCUGUACAAAAUCCACAAAUCGAUAUAUGAGAACAAUGCAUUCUUUACAAUUUGGAAAUUAAUAAUCACGUCCAAUAGAAUUGUAUGCCUGGUAAAAUAAAUAUUUGUUUCCACUUUUCGUAGAAACUAAUGAUGAA